GUCGCGGGGCGAAGCCUGACCGCAAUGCCGCGUGCAGGAAGAAGGCCUUCGGGUUGUAAACUGCUUUUGUACGGAACGAGACGGUCUGCCCUAAUACGGCGGGCUAAUGACGGUACCGUAAGAAUAAGCACCGGCUAACUACGUGCCAGCAGCCGCGGUAAUACGUAGGGUGCGAGCGUUAAUCGGAAUUACUGGGCGUAAAGCGUGCGCAGGCGGUUAUGUAAGACAGUUGUGAAAUCCCCGGGCUCAACCUGGGAAUUGCAUCUGUGACUGCAUAGCUAGAGUACGGUAGAGGGGGAUGGAAUUCCGCGUGUAGCAGUGAAAGGGGUGGAUAUGCGGAGGAACACCGAUGGCGAAGGCAAUCCCCUGGACCUGUACUGACGCUCAUGCACGAAA
rnacentral:rRNA from 1 species